UCUCUAUUGAUCUUCCCGCUCUGAUGUCCCGGUAUGCACCUCCCUCUCUUUAUAUACUGAGCACUGAGAAGUUCACCAUCACAAAGAAAAUCCUCUCCACUCUUUUUCCCUCUCUUCCUUCCUAUUUGGUUUUUCUUCUCUCCCAGCCCAGAGCUUUCAUAGUAAUCUCGUCAAAGAAGCUUUUUGGCCAAAUUCUGCUGAGUUUCCUCAAAAUCACCUCUGCAUCAAGCUCCUUAGUGCUACAGUAAAUUUGGUGAUUGCCAGAUCUGCUCGUCUGGUCUGCGGCGCCAAGCUUCUCUCGUCUCUUCAUAUUUUAUAUUUCUUUAUUCAGCCUUCCCGCGUUCUCGAUCUUCUGAAGCCAAGAAAAGGAUCUGUUCCAAGCUAAUCGAAGAGGCUUGCGUAGCCUGGUUUCUUGGCAGACUCUCGUUACAGCUUCUCCAUGAGAAUCAUCUCUUUGGCCCCUCUUCUUCUACGGAGUAAUCGUAGUGCAACUCACUUCUCUGUUGCUUACCUUUGCAUGAAAUUUGGGAAAAUGUUUUAAUUUCCAUGUCAGGAAUGGGUGGUUUUGGGAAAAACAAUAUACAGAUAUGUUGGGGAUGUGCACUUUCACUUUGCCGAUCAUGAGAAAUUAAGGUCUCAUGUUCCCAGCCUUUGUGCCAAAAUUCUUGAUGCAAUUGUUCGUGAUUUGAACAAUGCUUAUAGCCUUCACAUGGACUGUGGGAUAUUUUUACAGAAGACUUCAGCGAGUUUCCUAUUGGUUAUGAAGGCGGUGGCGGUAACAGCAGCGGUGCAAGUAGUAGUGCACCGAUUAGCUAUGCUAACGUAAUAAAGGGAACACUCUUUAACUUGAGAAUGAGGUCAUCUUCCCACAGGAAAUGAAAUUUGAAGAUUAAAAGGGAGUUAGUAGUGAGGCAGCUCUGUACGUAGAAUAUGACUCUCUUGAUUUUAUAACAACAUCAUAUCUAUAGUUAUACAAUUUGCUGAUUUUUGUUUUAAUUGGGAGGAAUAUAUUUGCUCAUAAUUAAUGAUUUACACGUGGCCGUGUGUGUGUGAGAUGUUGGUGAUGAAAUAGUACUUUACACACUUUAAAUGUUAUUGUUGUUUCAUCAUCUUGUUGAAUAAAGAAUAUGUACUUUACACACUUUAAGCUAUUAAUGUUUAAAUGGUAUUA